rnacentral:rRNA from 1 species
UAAACGUCCCAGUUCGGACUGUAGUCUGCAACCCGACUACACGAAGCUGGAAUCGCUAGUAAUCGCGGAUCAGAGUGCCGCGGUGAAUACGCUCCCGGGUCUUGUACACACCGCCCGUCACACCAUGGGAGUCAGUAACGCCCGAAGUCAGUGACCUAACCGAAAGGGAGGAGCUGCCGAAGGCGGGACGGAUGACUGGGGUGAAGUCGUAACAAGGUAGC